rnacentral:lncRNA from 1 species
UUUUUUGUUUUUUGUUUUUUUGGUACUGGGGAUCGAACUCAGGUCUUUGCGCUUGAUUUCUCUUGUUUCUUUAGAAAAGCAGUAACUCUCACUCAUAGACUUGAAGGCACAGAUGUAGUGGGCUCUUUGGUUAUGGUUUGUUUUUGGUUUUGGAAAUAAGUGCUAGGUAGCAGAUCUUGACAGUUAUUUCUUGUAGAACAUUGGGAAAUAAAAAUGGCCAUUUCCUAUGUGUUCAAUACAGCGUCUCAUUUUAGGCCUUUUCCAGGAGACUGCUAAAUGACAGGGCAAAGAUUUCAUACUCAUUCUUUCUGUGACUGCAAAGAAUUACAAAUUUGUAGCAAUGAACAGAUUUGUAUUUGUGCAGUGGGUGGCAUAACUAUGAAGAAAAUGAAUGGCAACUGUGAUGUUACCUUUGUUUCCUAGAAACUCCUCACAUACUACAUGUGACAGGUGACUUCUGACACAGUGUCCGAGUGACCAUGCCAGGUCAUUCAUAUGAGGAAAGCUUAGGACUCUGCAGAUGAAUCCUUUCCCUCCGCCUACAUCCUGUGUGGUAGGUGAGCACCAGCCCUUCCGGUCACUACAGUUAAGGAGACUGGCCCAAGAAGGUUUGGGGAGAUUUGCCUAAAAUCCCAUGAACUGACAGACUGAGGCUAGGCUUCAUACCUGAUCAUCUUUAAGCAAUGAGAAGCAGAGGAAAAGGCAGUAGUGGGGAUCGAACUUGGGUCCUUGUGCUUGAGCAGCAGCAGCAGCACCAGAAAAAAGAAGAAGAAGAGGAGGAGGAGGAGGAGGAGCAAGAAGAAGAAGGAGGAGAAGAAGAAGAAGAGGAAGAAGAAAGAAGAGGAGGAGGAAGCAGAAGAAGCAACUUUUCAAUUGUGGGCAGAAAUCCCAAGACCAAACUGGUUGUUUCUUCUAGAAAGAUGACUCUUUAAGUUAUUAUCAUUCUCCUUCCAGGGUGCUGUUCAGGGACAGGCCUGGCAAAAUAAAACUGCUACUGGAGAGAUUGUGCCUCUGUUUACUAGGGGUCAUUUUGGUUUGGUGGGGGUUUUUUGGCACUGGAGAUGGGACUUGGGACCCUGUGCUCGCGAGGCAGGCAGCGGAACCACUGAGCUAAAUCCCUGGCCCUGGUUGUUUUGUUUUUGAAACAGAGUCUGGCUGAGUUAUCCAGGCUAGCUUGGAGCUCUCUACACUC